AAAACAGAAAAUAAGACACAAGGAGGAAAGGUAGCCAAGGUCAACCAAGAUCUCAGGAAUUACCAGGAAAUUCUGCAUGCUCUUAAAGAUUUCCCGUCAAUUGUAAAUUCUUACAAAAGCUUACUUGGACAAAGCCCAUCACCAAGGCCCAUGCCCAAUGAUGCCUUACCUGUGUGUCUUCAGCUUUCAGUACGUCUGAUUCUGCUCAACAGCCUUCUCCAUCACACAAAAUGAUGUCACCUUCAUCAGGUUCUCCAGGCAAUCAACUUGAAAACCAGGUACUUUUGCAACCAGGCUCUAAAAUAUUCAUCCCAGCAUGUAAACUCUUGAAAAGCUCAAGCCCCUCGGUUCUGGUGUUUGGGAAGGAAACCUUAGCCAAAUCAAGUCUAACUGGCCGGAAAUCUGGAGCGCAUAGAGCGCUGGAAUCCAAACCAGCCCUGGAUCCAGAAAAAGUUGAUGCAA